AAGUCGUAACAAGGUUUCCGUAGGUGAACCUGCGGAAGGAUCAUUAUCGAAACAGAACGCCCGGGGGGAAAGGGGGGGCGCCGACGGCCCGAGACUGUCGCCGGCCUCGCGCGCGUGCACGUCCCUCGCCGUCGCUCUUUCCGACCCUUCGAGGCUUUCGACCUUCUCAACACCUGUGCACCCGCUGUAGGUCCUUCGGGACCUACGUCUUUCUUCGAACCCGCAUGUCUACAGAACGUAUUCGUCGCGUCCCGGCCUCGACCCUCAGGGUCCCGCGUCGGCGACCGCAAAACCUAUUAUACAACUUUCAGCAACGGAUCUCUUGGCUCUC
rnacentral:misc_RNA from 1 species